rnacentral:rRNA from 1 species
CUAGUUGGUGAGGUAACGGCUCACCAAGGCAAUGAUACGUAGCCGAACUGAGAGGUUGAUCGGCCACAUUGGGACUGAGACACGGCCCAAACUCCUACGGGAGGCAGCAGUAGGGAAUCUUCCACAAUGGACGCAAGUCUGAUGGAGCAACGCCGCGUGAGUGAAGAAGGCUUUCGGGUCGUAAAACUCUGUUGUUGGAGAAGAAUGGUCGGCAGAGUAACUGUUGUCGGCGUGACGGUAUCCAACCAGAAAGCCACGGCUAACUACGUGCCAGCAGCCGCGGUAAUACGUAGGUGGCAAGCGUUAUCCGGAUUUAUUGGGCGUAAAGCGAGCGCAGGCGGUUUUUUAAGUCUGAUGUGAAAGCCCUCGGCUUAACCGAGGAAGUGCAUCGGAAACUGGGAAACUUGAGUGCAGAAGAGGACAGUGGACUCCAUGUGUAGCGGUGAAUGCGUAGAUAUAUGGAAGAACACCAGUGGCGAAGGCGGCUGUCUGGUCUGUAACUGACGCUGAGGCUC